GAAAAUGCGGAUGGCAGCCCUGGUCGAGUGUCGCUGAUCGAAAUGAUCCGGCGAGUGUUUUCUAUCCCGCUUUCUUCAGUUGCACAGAUCCAUAGAUCCCGGAGUCUAAGGAAGAUGACCGCGAGGCGUUCUUCAAACAUGUUUGAUUUGAACGAAAACUUAUCAUUAUGAAUCCAAUAGGUAACUUUACUAGCAGCUGGACCAUUGGAAAAGCUUGUUUGCCGAUGCCUACGAUACUUAUGUUGAACGGAAAUGCUCUACGUGGAGGAAUCUUAUUGAUGACGAAUGCGUGACUAAACUAUGUGGAAGGUUGAAAAGACUCGUUGUCAUAACUGGACGCAUUAUGGAUUAUGAAACGGUGAUAAUGUUGAUGCCCAAUGAAAUAUUUGCAAAAUAGCAAUAAGACAAGAUGAUUACUUAUGGGCAGCUGAGAGAAAACUUGGAUGCCUAGGAUUUUAAAGGGGUUUCGUUCUGAGAAAAGAGUUUCCGCAGAAGGGUGAUCAACUCGGUAAUAUGAAGAAGCGGAUAAUUUGGUCGAGUGACAUCCAUCAUCAUUAUAGGAAUGUACAGUUGAAAUAAACGUUAUUCAUAAAGUGGUACACUUCUCUACGGACACACGUUAAGUAUGGAAGAACUACACAGUCGAUGUGUACUGAAUCGAGCAUCAUAAGAACGUACGAUCCAAGUGUUAUAAACUGAUAGAAUUACACCACGACGGCUUCUACCUACCGUUAACAAAUGAAUAUGGUAGAACUACACAGUCGAUCUGUACUGGAUCGAGUAUCAUGAGAGUGUACGAUCCAAGUGUUAUAAACUGAUAGAUUUACACCAAG